AAAUUUCCUGUAAAUUGCCAAACAUUUACAUUUUCAACAGACAUACAUUUAGAACAAACCCACAUUUAACAGCUGCAUAACAUUUGUUUAUCCAAAUAAAGUAAUAUUACUAAAAUAAAGAUGCUCUGUCCAUUUUCUGACUCAACAAAGAGGAUGAAUUCGACUCUAGACACUAGAUGCUUUUUCAUAAAAAUUAUGAAAUUGGACACAGAGACACGCUGAAAAUGAGUUUAAAAGUUUUUGUGGAGAGAAUUUUAGUUAUUCUUUUCUUAUCUGCUUAUCAGCCUAGAGAGGAGAGUAAAACUCUCAAUACAAGAUUAGUGUUUGACAAUUCCACGUAAUCUGAUUUCACUGAUCACUG
rnacentral:lncRNA from 1 species